UGAGACUCUGUGCGCGUGCAUAUCAAUAAGCGGAGGAAAAGAAACUAACAAGGAUUCCCCUAGUAACGGCGAGUGAAGCGGGAAGAGCUCAAAUUUGAAAUCUUAAAGGGUUUCCCUUUACGAAUUGUAGUUUAAAGAAGUGUUUUCUGUUGGAGUUUCGGUAAAAGUUCUUUGGAAUAGGACAUCAUAGAGGGUGAGAAUCCCGUAUUUGACCGUUACUUUCCAGCUGUGUGAUACACUUUCAAAGAGUCGGAUUGUUUGGGAAUGCAGUCCAAGAUGGGUGGUAAAUUUCAUCUAAAGCUAAAUAUUGGCGAGAGACCGAUAGCGAACAAGUACCGUGAGGGAAAGAUGAAAAGGAACUUUGAAAAGAGAGUUAAACAGUACGUGAAAUUGUCAAAAGGGAAGCGUUUGACACCAGUGUUGUUUAGUUGAAAAUCAAUUCAAUAGUUUUUGAUUCUAAGUAGUAUUGACUUCAUCAGCUUGCUGCUUUCUUCUCAGAAAUUAUUGAAUGCACUUUUCAGUUAACAAGUCAACAUCAAUUUCUUUUGUUGUAAAAGGGUAAGAGGAAGGUGGCUUGCGCUUCGGCUCAAGUGUUUAUAGCCUUUUAUCUCUGCAAUCGGAGAGAUUGAGGCCUGCAGCGUAGAUCCUUCGGGGUUAGAUACAUUUGUGCUAAGUUAUAGCUCUUCAUAGACAACUUGUUGACUAUGUUUAGUCUUGUAGCUUACUCGCUUAUGCUAUUUUACCUACGCUUAGGAUGUUGACAGCAGUAUAGACUGU
rnacentral:rRNA from 1 species